rnacentral:lncRNA from 1 species
UCAGUCGAUUGGUUGAGGCCAUCAAGUUUACAAGAAUUACCCUACUAAUGCCAUAUGGGCACCAAUGCACAAUGUCCUUACUAAAACUCUUUAGGAUUCCUUACCGUGAUGAGAUGAGAUAUAAGGAUAGCCAUGAAGGAAUAACUCCAAAAUUGUUUGAGAAAUGACAACAAUGAGUAGUCAUGAUCCAUUUCUAUGCCAAACUAGACCAUAGUUAAAGCUCCAACCAGCUCAAGGAUACAAAACAACUCCAACACAAAAAGAAAUUACUUGCCUUAUCUACAGCACAAUUCCAUUCAAUUUAUCCUGCCACACACCUUCAACCACAAGUAAUAAAUACUCAUUCAUAUUCUUCACCCAUAGUUAAAGCUCCAACCAGCUCAAGGAUACAAAACAACUCCCAACACAAAAAGAAAUUACUUGCCUUAUCUACAGCACAAUUCCAUUCAAUUUAUCCUGCCACACACCUUCAACCACAAGUAAUAAAUAUUGUUAUUCACAUAUAUUGACCAAAAAACCUAUAUCUCAAACAGAUUACACGAACGUAACUUUUACCCAACAAGGUCAGAGUCCUCAUUCCCAAACUCAAUAUAGCCCUAAUAUUUUAAUCCUAGCAUCUCAACUGACAAUUUGGAAGAGAGACAAAAUAUGGAAACAAGAGGCACUCAAAAUCCUCAAAGUAUCCCUCCUCCUCCCUCUCUUCCCCAGAUGAUUUAUCAGAGGGACAGGAAAUAUGUGAUCGAAUUUCAACUAAAGUGAAAACAUCAACACUGAACCGAGCCCAUCCACAUUUCCAACAGCCAUAUUCAUGUUUCGAGCAUGCCAAAAAGUUCUAACACAGCGUUACCCCAUUAAGAACUUUCAAAUUUUAAAUAUUACCUUGAAGCCCUGCCCAUUUAAACGUUCCAAUUUCAAAGAGACAUCCUAGAAGAAAUAUGAACUCAUUAUCUUAAAUUAUACCGCCUCUACUUUUAUCUCUACCUUGUCCUUCGCUGAAUUUUUAAAGUAUAUAGGAAUUAAGUGAAAAAGAAAAAAGCCAAAAGAUAGAGUCGAAGUAUUUCACACCCUGAACCAAAGGCUUACAUAUAUCAUCUAACAAUCAAACCCUGUGGAAAUACUAUGAUUGUAUCCAUUAUAAAAAAGGAAGUUAGAGUCUUCACCUAGUUGGAUAUGCCAAGCUACAAUCCCAGAAUGUUGGGGAAGCUUCUCUUGUGAUCCUUUGGACUCUAUCCGAGGACUUCUUCUCAGAAGAAAUCCCAGGUCACCCGUGAAUUUCCUCCUCUGUAAACCUGAAAUCCAAAUUCAAGAGGAUACCCUCGUCCCUUGAUGCCCUAAACCACCUCUUCUUCUCAAUCUCACUCUUUUCUCAUUCUUGAAGUUCAUAAGGCUUUCGUCUUUCGUAAAAGUUCUCCCUUUCACCUUCAUUGCCUCUUUUUCUUCUUAGAACCCUCUACGGUUUCUCUCAAGUUGCCCCCUCUGUCUGAUGUCCUUGGCUUUUAUAGGCAAGGCAUGGUUUACUAACGAAGCUUCCCCUGCUUUCCUCUUCCUUCUUGGCCUCAGUGGAGCGCAGAAGACGUCGAGCUUCGAGACUUCUUCCUCAACCUGGUCAAUUCCCUCUCUUCUUUUCGAUCGCUGCACAUCUUCUUUCUUUGGUUUCGAUAAUUUACGGUCAGAGCCUCAACCUUAUACCUUGCCGCUGUCUACCUCCAGCUCCUUCCUCGUGCAGCAUACGUUCACCAAAAUCAUGCUUGGUUCAAACCAUGCUAUCUCCUGCUUGCCUCUCUUCCUUCUUUGGUGCAAAAGGUUCAUGUGAAGAGACCACGGAACCCAGCUUCUCUUUGACAGUGCGGAUACGAGCCUCCUAGUAGGGAAGCUUGUCACCACCAAGCUUCAAGAGAAGCAUUCCCCUUCCAAUGAAACGAUGGCGUUUCACCGAGGGAUCCUUCUUCCUUUCUUUGUCUAAAACAAAAAGGCAUUAGGCCUUCGGGCCGGAUUUUAGAGGUUUCGCGAUGGGCGUUUUGAGCAAGUAGGAAUUGCAUGGGUUUGGUUGGGUUUAAGAGUUUAAAAGGGCUAACGGGGUGGGUUGGGGUUUUAAAUGGUUAUAAUUUUUUAU